rnacentral:rRNA from 1 species
AGCGGCGGACGGGUGAGUAACGCGUGGGUAACCUGCCUCAUACAGGGGGAUAACAGUUAGAAAUGACUGCUAAUACCGCAUAAGCGCACGGGACCGCAUGGUCUUGUGUGAAAAACUCCGGUGGUAUGAGAUGGACCCGCGUCUGAUUAGGUAGUUGGCGGGGUAGCGGCCCACCAAGCCGACGAUCAGUAGCCGACCUGAGAGGGUGGCCGGCCACAUUGGGACUGAGACACGGCCCAAACUCCUACGGGAGGCAGCAG